rnacentral:rRNA from 1 species
GAUGAACGCUAGCUACAGGCUUAACACAUGCAAGUCGUGGGGUAACAAGAGGAAAGCUUGCUUUCCUUGUUGACGACCGGCGCACGGGUGAGUAACGCGUAUCCAACCUGCCUAUAACUAGGGAAUAACCUUGCGAAAGUAAGACUAAUACCCUAUGAUUUCCUUUGAUGACAACAGAUUAGGAAUAAAGAUUUAUCGGUUAUAGAUGGGGAUGCGUCUGAUUAGCUUGUUGGCGGGGUAACGGCCCACCAAGGCAACGAUCAGUAGGGGUUCUGAGAGGAAGGUCCCCCACAUUGGAACUGAGACACGGUCCAAACUCCUACGGGAGGCAGCAGUGAGGAAUAUUGGUCAAUGGGCGGAAGCCUGAACCAGCCAAGUAGCGUGCAGGAUGACGGCCCUAUGGGUUGUAAACUGCUUUUAUACAGGAAUAAAGUUAGCCACGUGUGGUUAUUUGUAGGAACUGUAUGAAUAAGGACCGGCUAAUUCCGUGCCAGCCGCCGCCGUAACAC